rnacentral:tRNA from 1 species
GCCGACAUAGCUCAGCCGGUAGAGCAGCACUUUCGUAAAGUGAAGGUCCCCGGUUCAAUUCCGGGUGUCGGCUCCA